rnacentral:tRNA from 1 species
UCCUGGUUAGCUCAGUUGGUAGAUUAGUCCACUGGUAAUGGAGAGCUCCCCGGUUCGAUGCCAGGACCAGGGG